GAUGAACGCUGGCGGCGUGCCUAACACAUGCAAGUCGAGCGGGGAAAGUUCUUCGGAACUUUUCUAGCGGCGGACGGGUGAGUAACGCGUGAGCAAUCUGUCCCAUACAGGGGGAUAACAACUGGAAACAGUUGCUAAUACCGCAUGAGACCACAGAGCCGCAUGGUUCAGGGGUCAAAGGAGCAAUCCGGUGUAGGGUGAGCUCGCGUCCCAUUAGCUAGUUGGUGAGGUAACGGGCCCACCAAGGCGACGAUGGGUAGCCGACCUGAGAGGGUGAUCGGCCACAUUGGAACUGAGACACGGUCCAGACUCCUACGGGAGGCAGCAGUGGGGAAUAUUGGGCAAUGGGCGCAAGCCUGACCCAGCAACGCCGCGUGAAGGAAGAAGGUUUCGGAUUGUAAACUUCUGUCCUUGGUGACGAAGAAAGUGACGGUAGCCAAGGAGGAAGCCCGGCUAACUACGUG
rnacentral:rRNA from 1 species